CAGGAACAGAUGUUCUGGCUGGAAGCUCCAGGUGGUGGGAGAGCUGAGGAAUUCGGGAGUGGCUAGAGGCUGGAGGAGGCAGCACUCCACAGAUCAGCACCACCCCCACCCUGACUUUCCAGAGAAACAACCUCAGGCUCUAGAGCUGGUAAACCGCUGUGCUGGUGCGAGAAGCAUAGGAAGCCAGGGUGCUCUGAGUCAGGAAGGGCUGUGUGAGAGGAGGGCAUCAUGAGGAAGGAGUCAGAGCAAGGAAACUCAACCCAGCUUCCAUCCCAGAAGAAGCUGGGCUGACCUGUGGGGAACAGGCUGCAAGUUCAUGAGGUUGGAAGCUCUGAGGUCACUAGACUAGAUGACGAGCUGUGCAGAGGUCACCUUGGGGCCUUUAUCAUCCAGAUUGGCAGAAACAUGGGAUCUCUCUGGAGAGUUCAUCCCAAGUACCACAGAAGACAGCAGUGAUAAGUCAGAGGGGGUGAGGGCAGUUUCCGGCUCCAGCUUCAAAAGAACAAAUACUCAAAACAAAGGAAGUGGUCCUCAACCACAGGAAGCAGGAAGUGUCUGCUAG
rnacentral:lncRNA from 1 species